UUACUGGAGGAUUAGUGGUUAGGCCACAGCGUUCUUACCCGCUGCGGCCUGGGUUUGAUUCCCAGCCAGGGAA
rnacentral:tRNA from 1 species